rfam:Dipodomys ordii contig_26029, whole genome shotgun sequence.
UGGCUCAGUGGUAGAGCGCUUGCCUUGCAUGCAUGAGGCCCUGAGUUCAAUUCCUCAG